rnacentral:lncRNA from 1 species
CUCUCUCUCUCUCUCAACACGUGCACAUUUGGAGACCUAAGCUUCUGUGUAAAAUUACAGCAUAAUUGAAGCUCAGUGUCCAUGGCAGGUACUGGAAAGAGAGAGAUUUCCAAGGAGCCACGAUCCAGCUCUCAGAUAUUCAAGUCUUUUCAGACCAGGCACCAGAUAGGUAAGCAAACCUUCAGAUAAUUCUGUUCAUUGGCCUUCAAUCCACAUCACCUUACACAGAGUGGAGUAAAAAUGAGCUGUCACCAUCAAAUCUUUGCCCUAACUACAUAUUCA